UAACUCCGUGCCAGCAGCCGCGGUAAUACGGAGGAUGCAAGCGUUAUCCGGAUUCAUUGGGUUUAAAGGGUGCGCAGGCGGGGAUGUAAGUCAGUGGUGAAAAACUGCCGCUCAACGGUAGUCGUGCCAUUGAUACUGCAUCUCUUGAGUUUGGAUGAGGUAGGCGGAAUGUGCAGUGUAGCGGUGAAAUGCAUAGAGAUUGCACAGAACACCAAUUGCGAAGGCAGCUUACUAAUCCACGACUGACGCUGAGGCACGAAAGCGUGGGUAGCGAACAGGAUUAGAUACCCUGGUAGUCCACGCCGUAAACGAUGUUCACUCGCUGUUUGCGAUACACAGUAAGCGGCUUAGCGAAAGCAUUAAGUGAACCACCUGGGGAGUACGAUCGCAAGGUUGAAACUCAAAGGAAUUGACGGGGGCCCGCACAAGCGGAGGAACAUGUGGUUUAAUUCGAUGAUACGCGAGGAACCUUACCUGGGCUUAAAUGUAGAGUGCAUGCGGUGGAAACACCCUUCCCUUCGGGGCUCUCUGCAAGGUGCUGCAUGGUUGUCGUCAGCUCGUGCCGUGAGGUGUCGGGUUAAGUCCCAUAACGAGCGCAACCCUUACCGUUAGUUGCCAACAGGUCAAGCUGGGGACUCUAGCGGGACUGCCACCGUAAGGUGAGAGGAAGGUGGGGAUGACGUCAAAUCAGCACGGCCCUUAUGUCCAGGGCUACACACGUGUUACAAUGGCCGGUACAAAGGGCAGCUACUCCGCGAGGAGAUGCUAAUCUUGAAAGCCGGUCUCAGUUCGGAUUGGAGUCUGCAACCCGACUCCAUGAAGUUGGAUUCGCUAGUAAUCGCGCAUCAGCCAUGGCGCGGUGAAUACGUUCCCGGGCCUUGUACACACCGCCCGUCAAACCAUGGGAGCUGGGGGUGCCUGAAGUCUGUGACCGCAAGGAGCGGCCUAGGGUAAAACCAGUGACUGGGGUUAAGUCGUAACAAGGUAGCCGUACCGGAAGGUGUGGCUG
rnacentral:rRNA from 1 species